rnacentral:rRNA from 1 species
UACAGAGGUCUCAAGCGUUGUUCGGAUUCAUUGGGCGUAAAGGGUGCGUAGGUGGCGGGGUAAGUCAGGUGUGAAAUCUCGGGGCUCAACCCGAAACUGCACUUGAUACUGCCUUGCUAGAGUACUGGAGAGGAGAUUGGAAUUUACGGUGUAGCAGUGAAAUGCGUAGAUAUCGUAAGGAAGACCAGUGGCGAAGGCGGGUCUCUGGACAGUUCCUGACACUGAGGCACGAAGGCCAGGGGAGCAAACGGG